rnacentral:rRNA from 1 species
UACGUAGGGUGCGAGCGUUAAUCGGAAUUACUGGGCGUAAAGCGUGCGCAGGCGGUUUUGUAAGUCUGUUGUGAAAUCCCCGGGCUCAACCUGGGAAUGGCAAUGGAGACUGCAAGGCUAGAGUUUGGCAGAGGGGGGUAGAAUUCCACGUGUAGCAGUGAAAUGCGUAGAGAUGUGGAGGAAUACCGAUGGCGAAGGCAGCCUCCUGGGCCAACACUGACGCUCAUGCACGAAAGCGUGGGGAGCAAACAGG